UCUGUCAGACCAGUUGAAACCAUUGGCGGAGAUAUCAAAACCUGUCAGGCUCUUCAGAGUUUGGACUAACUUCUCUAUUUUCAUGUACAUGCUCGAAAAUGAUUGAUUGAACUGAUUUGAGUUUGUUUCUGAUGCACUGAUGCUCUCACCAGUAUAAAUCCUAAGGGGGCACACAUUUGAAUGAAGCGUGGUUGUGUUUUGGAGUGUGUGUAUGUAGGUGUGUGGGCAUUGAUGUUGGCAGUGUUAGCAAGGAGUACGCUUGAAAUGCUUUUUGGCUUAGCUGUGCCAGCCCUCUGAAACCUUGCUGGUGCACACAGCAUAACUGGGCUUGGAAAACAAUCAUUCUGUGAUCUAGGUUAUGACUGUGACCACUUUGCAUUUGAGUGCCUUCUGGAAAACUAAUUAUGCAGUAGUUUCCCAUGCUUUAAAUCUGUGCUACCUGAAGGUCCCAACUUAGUAAUCUAAAAUUUCUUCAGCAUCGAAUUUCUGGAGUUAAUAGAAUAAAACCAGAAGAAUUUAUAGUAUGUGUGUGAAAACAAAGUUCUGUAGGGCUAAUGGUACUUCCAUAUGAGAGGUCUGUUGGUUGUGAAUAGAACAAGGGCAUGGUGGCCAUGCUGCUGAGGCAUGGUGACCGGUACUCAUGUGUGCACUGAUUGCUGCUGGUGCUUGCAGCUCACUUGGACUAUGGUCUUUGAACCUGGGUCACGCCUCUCAGUAUGAGAAGGGAUUUGAUUAGGAAGUCUAAUCAAAAACUGUGGCUUCUCAACACCGAGUUUCGUUCCAAGCAUGACCAUGUUACCUUGCUUGCUUUGCCAGUGCUGUGAAAUCUGUUAUUGAUAGUCAUAGCUGAUCAGUGCCAUGCAGAAUUGUGGUUUUCUUGCAAACGUUCUUAUUCAGAAAGGAGCAAUAUUGUUUCAGAUAGCUGUCUGAAGAGUACUCUCUGUGCUGUUGUGUACUUCCAUCUGUGGUAUACAGAUGGUGUGCUUUAUCCCCUGCUCCAUCAGCACCCAUAUGGAGGUGCAUGUUUGUAAUUGUUAAGCAGAACACUUGUACUGAGGACAUUAGGAAUACUGACAUUACUACUACAGAAUGCAGCAAAGCUGCUUUUAGAAAAUGAAUAGAAGUAAGCGGUAAACGCAGUACAAACGUGAGUGGUGUAUGGCAGGACUGACUUACUCUAGCAGGGGCUGCUGUUAUCUCAGAUAUCACUGAUGAUCUGACUUCUGUAGUGUGUUGCUUUCUCUAAUUGCUAUUGGCAUGUUUUGGUUUUGCUGUUUGUAUAUGGAAUCUCUCUAAAGAAAACACAGUAUCUAAAUGCCUGUAAUUCGUGCAGAUCCUGCUGUUGAUGCUAGUGGCAAGGUAACAGGAAAUGUGUGGGUGGUGACAUCUGGGUGUUGUGUAAGAAAAGAGAACCUGCUGGCUGAUUCCCAUGUGAUGCUUUCUGAGGUUCUUCUUUGAAAGCCUUGUAUCUCACUGAAUUGCACAAAUAACUCUGGCCUCGUGUUAGUCUACCUCAUGGAGAGAGAAAAGGUAAUGAACACUGCUAUGACCACACCAAUUUAGGUCCUACGUUUUUUAAAAACUAUCUUGUCAAAUUUUCUCCUUUCAUUGUUGCUUUUCUAUGGAAAGGCUAAUAGAAACAAACAAAAAAACCUCCACAAACAGUUGUUUAGUGAAAAUCUUUAAAUAAUAUUUGCUGAAUUGAAUCUUGGUUUUAUAUACGCAUGCUUUAAAAAAAAAAAAAUUAAGAUCUGCAUAUGCGGACUGAUAAAAUAGAGGACAGUAACCAAGUUGGUGAGGCUUUGACAUGUGCAAAACAAAGCAAGUACUGUCAAGAAUAUUUCUACUCUGAUAUGUAGUUAACAUAUACUGUUGGUACCAAACAAUGUGUUCGUAGAUUCAGAAGAGCUUCUAUUUCAGUGUGUUAUCUCUGUUCACAUAAACAAUUGGUUUACCUGAGAGCAGAAAAUCAAUAAUGACUUAGUGUUGUUGUCUUGCAGGUGGUUUUGCAUUUGUCUAUGAAGCUCAAGAUCUUGGAAGUGGCAAAGAUUAUGCUUUAAAGCGGUUGUUGUCCAAUGAGGAAGAAAAGAACAAAGCUAUCAUUCAGGAAGUUUGUUUUAUG